GAGGCAACAUUGGGGCUGCUUUUAUGAUGAUUUGGCCUAACUUGCUUCACUUGACUUUGUGCUUGCGUCAAUCUAGGUCCUGGCGAUCGGCAUUCAUGAGUGGAAGCUGGUCGAAGAGUUGCCCUAAUGCGAGAUGGAGCUGCACCUGGUUGACCGUUUCGUCGGAGCUCAAGAAGCUGGAAAUAAUCAGUAAUAAGCGACUUAACAAAGAGGAGUGAAGUAAGUGAAAGUAAAUCUAUUGCUAAAUCUUGAGACUGCCUGAAACUGAAUUCAAAGAUUUUAAUCAUAACUC